rnacentral:rRNA from 1 species
GACAGAGGUCCCGAGCGUUAGGCGGAAUCACUGGGCUUAAAGCGUGUGUAGGCGGAUGCCUAAGUACCUUGUGAAAUCCCACGGCUCACCCGUGGAACUGCUUGGUAUACUGGGUGUCUUGAGCCACUUAGGGGCUACCGGAACAAAUGGUGGAGCGGUGAAAUGCGUAGAUAUCAGGAGGAACACCGAUGGCGAAGGCAGGUCUCUGGGCCGAUACUGACGCUGAGGAGCGAAAGCGUGGGGAGCGAACAGG